AUGGAUUGAGCAACCUGUUCUACCCAGGCCUGGUGCCACCAGCACCUUCCCACUGCUCUCUUCUUGUAAGAAACACUUUGAUAGAGUAAAGGUCCAAUUCCUCAGAAGAGAGAAAGGCCACAGGACUAAGAUCAAAAUACUUUUCUGAACAGGUAGGGACAAAACAAAUCUCUAAGAUAAAACACACACCAGAAAUAAACUGUUGUGCAAAAACUACCUAGAGAGUCAGCACUAAGUUUCUUCCCAGCUGGGCAAGAUGGAGCCCAUAAUUCUUCUGCUUGAAGUGACAGAUAAACUAAAUCAUUAACUCUCUAAAUUCUUCCGUAAACUUUAUAUUCAUAUGAGGUAGUCAGUUGUUGUGACAUAGCAAGCCAUGGCAUGGUUUACAUUAGUGAAAGCAUUAGCUUACAAAAACACUUUUUAAAAAACAAAGCUAAGUGGAACAUUCUGUCCCCCAGGACAACAAUAACUUUUAUGCAUUUCUAUCAAAUACCUCAGGAUAAGCAUCAGAUACAACAGAAAUUCCAAGUACCAGGGACACAUAAUUCAAAGAAACACAUAGUCAUGGCUAUUAAUCAGAGAUGGAUGGAAUCACAAAUCCAUAUAUUCCUCCUAGGGCAUCUGUCCAACAAUUACAUUUUCUUCCAAGAGGAUAUUGACAAAUAGCUAUCUUGCCUCAUGCCCUAGAACAGUUUUGCUCCAGGUUCUCCUGGCCUUUUACACCCAUUUCUUCUCCUACCUUUCUGCACUGCCAGUUCUGCAAGAUUUAGUCUAACACCACUCUGCCUAAGACAACAGCAGAUCUUACACUGGGGUCUUGGACUAAUUUAUUUAUCAUUCACUAGUCCAACUACUCAGCACUAGGGCUUCCAGUACACUGACACACGUGCUAACAGCAGCCUACCCAAUCCUUUGGUAAAUAUGUGAUGGAACUGAUAAAGGGCUUUCUAGCACAAAGAUGACUAUCACAAGCAUGACAAAAUGAGCUUGGAAGAAAUCCCCAUGUCUGUUCUGCCUUUACAGGGCUGCAUUCAUUCAUUGGCAGGGAGGUAGGAAGGGCUAGAAAAGAAAAAGCUGGAGCCAGAGCAUACAGGAGAAGGCUCUUUGUCUGCAACAGUUUAGACAGGAGUAGCUUACAGAGCCAGACAAAAAUUCAGCCUGCUCAGAUGGAUGUGAAGGGAUGGGAUGGCUAACAACUAGCUGGUGCCAAAUCCCAGUGACAGAUAAAUGAAAUGGAAAAUAAAAUGAACAGAACAGUCCAGUCCUGAGCAGAAAGGAAUUUCUGAUCUACACCUCUCUGGGACACAGCUUCUUCAUCCCUCACCCUUGCUCUUUGAGAUUUCACAGACAUCUGCUGUACUGAGCAUCCCUGCCAGCAAACACAUGUUCCAGGAAUCUCUAUUUGCCUGUACCUUAUUGUAAAGCAAAGAAAAAAACUCCAUCUCACAGCAACCUUUGCAUCAUCCAGUAAAAGGCACGAGUAAACUGUCUAAUUAAUGGGGUUUCUGUGUAUAGGGCAUCAUUUUUCAGAGUCAGAAGCCUAAAACAGAGGCUGCAAAAUCUUAGUCUUUGCAUCUGAAAAGGGUGACUUGAUUUUCAGAAGUGCUCAACUCUGCUGAUGAGAAUUACAGAUACUGGCUUGUGUAGGGGAACAGCUGUAUUUAACAUCUAUUUAGCUUGUCAAAGCACUAAAAGGAUGUAUAAAGAAAGUCCAGAUCCAGGCUUAAGGAUAAGUUUAUCAUAUUUCAUCCGAACAAGAAAUACUAAAAAAGAAUGCAAGAGCAGGAAAGAAUGUGGAUGCUCUUAGGUCAGAGCUAGGUUUUAAGACUAUUGCUUUACCAAGGUCCAAAUCAAGGGACAACAACAAGAGGCUCUCAUUUCCUUCUUUCAAUCUACCACUCACCCAAGCCUUGCAGAAGUCAAAAUGCCCUGAAACCAGGAGCCAAGAAAUGGGCUGGACAAACAUUCAUGGUGCUUUCAAGCUGCAUUACCAAAGAUUAAAUAUGAAAAGACUGAAAGGGAUAUAAAACUCCUGCUUAAGCCUUCUCUCUCAGCUCAAGGGCAAAGAAAUCUGCAUCCAGGUCAGCUCAUUUCAUAAUUGCUUCCCUCAGAGGGCUUUAACCACCACCUUUGAUGCAUCUCAUCUUUGUCACUGCUGCAGAGGGUGAUGCUUAGAGCACCAAUCCCCUUAAAUCAGCCCAGAUGUACAUACAUUUCUCAUGAGCCAUAUACAUAUUAUUUUUCAGUCCAGUGAUGCUCUGGGCAGAGAGGCAGCAAGCUCCUACCCAUUUGUGCAUCACUCUUGCAGUGCCUUCUGCCUGUUUGAACAUGUUUGAUCAAGCCUACUUAUCUAGGUCAUAGCUCUUGGUCAGGAGUUAGAAGGCUACAUUUGCCUCUCAGUGAAUUUUAGAUAGUACUUAUGAGGCUGCAUUAAUUUGCACUCGGCAGUCCUCACCCUCCAGACCUCCUGCAAAUACACUGCACUAGUUCCUACUGACAUCACACAAGGUAUUGGCAUGGGUCAACAGAGGUCCCACCUUGCCGGCCUUCUGUUUCAUGCUUAGGGAGCAUAGAGAUUCUUUAGGAUAAGCCUGUGGUGCUCAUGGUGGUUUCAGGCCAGCACAGGAAUGAAGCUGCUGAAUCUGUGUCUCAAUACUGAACUGAACAGCAGCAGGAUGCUAAGACCACAGGAUUCUUGCUACUCCAGCAGGAGCUGCCAAGGACAGAUAAGUCAGCACAGCACAAAGCACAAGGACUGCCUCUGCUCUGCUGUCUGGAUGUGCAAAUGGAGCAGCAGAAGAAAAGCACCCAAGCAUCCUCUUUUGACUUUCACUGAGGUUCUGGCUGUGACAUUUUUUUGGGACAAACUGGUUUUGUCUUGGGGCCUUUUUUUCCUUUCAUCCUGUCUUGGGGUGAACAUUUCCUCCUAACUUGUCUCAAACCACGACACACAGCUACAUGUCAGACAGCUUUAAAUUAUGAAUAUCAAACUCUUGCUAUCUCACCACCAUUUACAGGAGAGCUGGGCUCUGUCUCAGUGAUAGGGAUAACAAGGUCAGUCUGAGCACAAAGAAUCACUGUGAACCCAUGCCUCCUGAAGCAUUCACACUUAAGGUCAUAUAUUUUCCUUGAAAAUGUCUAAUAAGGAGGAAGUAUUCAAAGGAGCAGAUAAUUAAAUGGAAAAUUCCAGUCUGGAAUUUUUCAGACUUCUUGAGUGGACAGAUGCUGUUAAGACAGGCUUAUUCCUUGGAAGAGACCUGGGAAAAGAGUGCUUGAGAAAAAGCAGAACAGGAUGGGUGCUCAAGCAUGAAUCUUCAGGGAGCAAGAGUCAGCCAAAAUUCCGGACAGCAAGAGACCACUCACGCUAAAGGGAAACCUCAGCAGGAGAGACCUAAGGACCAUUCAUGAAGAACUGUUAGCUGGGACAGAGAGGUGAAAGUGUCCUCAGGCAAGUCUGCACUGCUCAGCCAUACCAAGAGGAAGCUCAGUUUUACAUGCUUCCGCAUCUGCACUGCUCUGUUUCCCAGAGCUCCCUGCCUUCCCUCUCAGCCAUACCACCGGUGGAUGUCAGCUCCCUGACUGCAGGCAACAACCUGCACCGGCAGUGCCUUUUGGAGGUUUCAUUGACGCUACUGGGGAAAUGCUGCAGUGUUGCAAGACAGGAGAAAAAAGCCUUGAAGAAUGCCUGUAAAUCACAGUGCAGUUUGGAGAAUUUCACAGCCACACCUGGACCACUUCUAAUCCCAGACUGUGCUUGUUCCAUUCUCAUUGCUUCAACAAUAUCUCUAGCAGCAAAAAACUCAAUUGCCUGUCAGCAGCCUAUCAAAUAUUCUGAUACAGUGAGUUUAUGCUCUCAGCAAGAAUGAUGGACAGAAGGGUCCCACAGAUUUUAAAACAUUCUCCAGCAAGUUGCAAUGUCAUGGACAAGUCUUUGCAGAAUCCUGCAUUGAGAGCUCCGCCUCUGCUGUCACAUCAUCCCUGCAUGGCCAAGAGCUCAGCAAGCUUCACUGCUUUUGACAGGUCAUACCAAUUGUUCUAAAAAGACUAUGCCUGUUGAGCUUGUUUUAAAUCACUUUCCUAAGUAACAAGAUUAAAUGCAGAAAGCUGGCAUUAAAAUAAACUUGCUAACUGGUGAAACCUAGUGCACCCACAUCACAGGAACAGUGUGGGUGCUCACAGUAAGACCACUAGCAAGGGUCAUAGUGUUUAAUUCCAUGUGACCUCAUACACCAUACCUGUGUUUUUCUCAUACCUCCCCACACUAAUACACGUUUGCAAUUCUUGAAUAAAAGCAUUAGUAAAAUAGAUUAAAAUUCAGAAGAACAGGAGCUUUGAAUGGCUUAAUCUCAGCUGGAGCUGCUAAAACAUAACGCUAGCCAAGGUUUUGAAAGAGAAGAAAUCUCAGCCGGGGUUUUAAACAAAUUCCUAACUACCAGGAGUUGCAAGGAGAUGCACAGAAAGCCAGAAGGUGACAAAGAACAGGCUUGUGUGAGAGCACUGCCUAUAGCUGUCUUUCAGCAGAGAAGUUGGGAUUUUAGAGAAGGUCAUGUAAGACUCUUCAGCUACGAGGCAACUGAGAGAUGUGGCAGAGGUGCUUGCAGUGAUAAGGUGUCUGAAAAAAGCAAAGAACAAUCAGUAAUUCAGCACCUUGUUUUUUUUUUUAAUACAACAACCAGAAGACAACAAAAGAAGGUAUUGGGAGUCAGCACCACACCAAAGAGGACAUGGUUCUUCGUACAGUUUAUAGUCAAAACCACCAACUUCCUUGGAAAGCAAUGUCACAGAAACCAAAAUACUGAGGUACCUGAGGAGGGUGAAAAAGCCCAAGUGACACAAAUCCCUAACAAUACAGAAAUCACAUGAAUCUCUAAGCUGAACUGUUCCUGAGCAUCUGACAACUUCCAUGACCACAUACAUGCUCCUAGGCUAAAGCAGCCUUGAAUCCAAACCAGCGCAGUGAGACUCUAUUACCUACCUGCUCACCAGGUUUCAGUACUGCCAUGGACUGGACAGACCUCUGUCUUGGUACCACCCAGUUCCUCUCGAGUUCUCUCCACGACACACUCCACAGCUUACCCCAGGGAUUCACCAAAAGCACUGCAGGCUUCCUGUGCCAUUAUUCCCAGCACUACAUGAUUUGUUUGCUAUGAGCAGUCUCACAGGAAGCAGUCAGACUGGAGAGUGCAAAACUGAAAGGGUGCAGAUACUAUCAAAGCUGCUCUCCGUGCGCAAAGGCAGAUUUCACAGAAGUUCAGUGUCUAAAGAGAGGCUCAGUUCAGAAAUGAAAGCAAAAGAUUUGCUGCUGAGAAAAAAACCUGGGAACGGUGAAAAAAACUCAAAUUAACGCCUUAGCAGCAGUAUCAAGCACGUAAAAUUUGUUUCCAGUCUGGUUCCCUUGUUUUAGACCUGUGCUUGAGUUUUUCUCGCCUUAAAGAAACAUUUGCUUUGUUGUUUGCUUGAAGUUGUUAGCAAGCAGUCAGCUGUUAUACAGAAUUAAAUGCUUUUUAUUAUGCAAAGGCUGACGCUGUCUGAGCUGUAACUGCAUGGCUGUGAACAGCAUAUUAAUUCAAAGGCUGUAUGAUUACACUUUACUAUUAAAGGUCACUCAUCAUUUAGUA